rnacentral:rRNA from 1 species
UCCUGGCUCAGGAUGAACGCUAGCUACAGGCUUAACACAUGCAAGUCGAGGGGCAGCAUGAUCUAGCUGCUAAGAUGAUGGCGACCGGCGCACGGGUGAGUAACGCGUAUCCAACCUUCCCCUUAGUAGGGCAUAGCCCGGUGAAAAUCGGAUUAAUACCCUAUGUUGUGUCAUGAGGACAUCUGAAUAACACUAAAGAUUUAUCGCUAAGGGAUGGGGAUGCGUCCGAUUAGGUAGUCGGCGGGGUAACGGCCCACCGAGCCCUCGAUCGGUAGGGGUUCUGAGAGGAAGGUCCCCCACACUGGUACUGAGACACGGACCAGACUCCUACGGGAGGCAGCAGUGACGGAAUAUUGGUCAAUGGGCGUAAGCCUGAACCAGCCAAAGUAGCGUGCAGGAUGACGGCCCUAUGGGUUGUAAACUGCUUUUAUACGGGGAUAAAGGGAGGGACGUGUCCCUUAUUGUAGGUACCGUAUGAAUAAGGACCGGCUAAUUCCGUGCCAGCCGCCGC